rnacentral:lncRNA from 1 species
UUUGCACAAGAUGCUUAUUUGAUUUCUUUCCUUAAAUAACUUUUACCGUUUAAGUCUAAAUUCCUUAAUUAAAGAAAGUCUUGCAUUGAUUGAUUUUUUUAAUUGAUAUCCAGUUCCUUAAUUGUUUUCUUACCUUAUUUCUGCUUUUUUUUAACACUAUAAAUGCACGACUCUUUCAUUAACAAAAAAGCGAUCACUCGUAGUCUUUCUGAAUUUACACUUACACUCAAUAGUAUUCUCUCUUAUUGCUUGUACUGUGGCUUGUUUACAAGGCCUACUACCUGUCUUUCUUUAUUUACUUAUUUGAAACCGGUAUGUCCUGAUUUAAGCUUUUUAGCACCACGACAAUAUGUGUAUUUACUGCUUUUGUAUUCAUGUCUGCUUACUGCUUCUGUGUGGUUUAACACUUCUUAUUUCUUUUUGCCUGUUCUAUUAUGAAUCCCAACCCCUUCCCCCUAUUUGUUCAUGCUAUGGUUUGAGGCAUGGCAAUAUGCAAAUUAUUGUACAUGAAUUAAACUUGAUCCCCUGGGAUUCUAGCCUCUAAUAAUGUAUGUUCUAGCAGGCUUAUGGGUAUGCUAGUACCCUCCAUUUUUGGGCAUGCCUAAAUCCUGCCCUUGCCUAAGCAAUAGGCUCUUUACAAUCUCCAUAUUCCCCUGAACCCCCCUCCCCCAUGUGUAUUUAUUAGUAGUUGUUUCCCUCUCCUUUUCCCCUUUAGCAUUCUAUUAUGUACUUGCACACUUUCUUAGUCUUUAAGUUCUGCCCCCCUCUUGUGAGCCUUGUCUUGGGACUCUUUGAGUUCCUUUUGAACUUGUACACUUAAGGGUUGGCCCUUCUACACUGCCCUUAUCCUAAUCUGACAAUACAUUUGGGUGUGAGCAUU